rnacentral:rRNA from 1 species
UGGGGAAUUGUUCACAAUGGGCGCAAGCCUGAUGACGCAACGCCGCGUGGGGGAUGAAGGUCUUCGGAUCGUAAACCCCUGUCGAAUGGGACGAAAGACUCGCGAGUGAAUACUUCGCGAGAGUGACGGUACCGUUAAAGGAAGCCACGGCUAACUCUGUGCCAGCAGCCGCGGUAAUACAGAGGUGGCAAGCGUUGUUCGGAAUUACUGGGCGUAAAGGGCGCGUAGGCGGCCCUCUAAGUCAGACGUGAAAUCCCCCGGCUUAACCUGGGAACUGCGUCUGAUACUGGAGGGCUUGAGUAUGGGAGAGGGAUGUAGAAUUCCAGGUGUAGCGGUGAAAUGCGUAGAUAUCUGGAGGAAUACCGGUGGCGAAGGCGGCAUCCUGGACCAUUACUGACGCUGAGGCGCGAAAGCUAGGGGAG